CAAAUGUUGGAUGAAUUAAUUUCUCUGUUGAAACCAAAUAUAGUUUUAUGUAGUGUAAAUUUCCCACUCAGUAAUCAUGUAAUAAUUAUACCAAGUGUGAAUUUUUUAAACCAGCUCCUGCAGGAGGAUAAGCUUCGCCCUGAGGUGGAUCGGUUUAGUGUAAGCAGACGUGUGGGUGUUGUUUUCUGGUGAUUUCCUGCAGGCUGUCAUUGUGAAGAAGGAGCUGAGCCUGAAGGAGGAGGAGGAGGAGGAGGAGGAGGCAGCACACUGGAAGAUUACAAAUCCCACCGUUCUCUGGCUUUCUUGCUGACUGAAUAUAAACAUGGACGACACGCCACCCAUUGAGAAAAGUGAAGACAAAAUCUGUCCAUAAUGAUGGGUUUUGGAACUAAG